CUCAAUAAAUCCCACUGAUUGAUUGCUAGCAUUCCCGAGGCCGGUGCUGGGAUGUGUUUCAGCACAGCUCCACAGCCAACUGACCAGGAUCAACACAGGAAGAAGGAAGAGGGCAAGGCUUGAGCGGAGCUCACAGCUCGGAACUGAAGGCUAAGAAACCAGUUACAUGACCUGCAGUUAUCUAGGCAGAAGUUUCCCAAAUUCAAUCUAGUUUGGAUCGCCUCGAUUAAGAAGCUUAAUUUUGACCAAGGGAACCAAGCCGUUUGCUUAAAGCCAAGUGUACGAUUGACUGAAAAGGGAGAUGGAGC